rnacentral:lncRNA from 1 species
UUUUCACGAGAAAUAUUUUCUCAUGUAAAAUAUGGGGCGCUAAAGAAGAUAAGGAUAUGGCGCAAGGAUUGGUUGCUCAUUCAAAUUCAAACUUUCUUUUGAAUUUGAAUGACCAACCUAUCAUCCUUAUCCACCCAUAAGGUGCACAAAAGUGGGGCGUGGGAAGGCCUUUGCAUGAGAAAAAAUUCAUGAGAAGUUCCUUCUCGUGAAUUCAAAUGGGCGC